UUCUGUAUGUGUUCUCUCUGUUUUCUGGAUUUCAUUGACCGUGUGUUUGUGUGGUAUAUUACCAGGAGGCCUUCUUCGGGAAGGGGCUGCUGGACAAGAGCAAGCAGAGCAGGCAGGCAGGCUUGCUGACCACGGGGCUCUGUGAGGAGCUGCUGGACAAGUGCAAGCAGAGCAGUCAGGCAGGCCUGGUGACCACAGGGCUCUGUGAGGAGAGCCCAGGGGCCCAUGCAGAGACCAAACCCCCCAGCGCCAGCUUCCUGGACCCCUUGUCGGACCCGCUGCUCAGUGCUACCUCCACCACUACACCCAUCUCCAGCAAAGCAGGACUGCCCGAUACCGAGGAUCCCUUAGUGGACCUUUCGGAAGUCCUGAGCACGGAUGCAGAUCUCCUGGGAAUGCUGUCGGAUGAUCUGGUGAAGUCGGGGCACAACUCAGGUCUUGAUUUAUGCCCUUUCCAAGUCGACUGCUCUUCCUCUCCGUUUGGUAAGAGACGUCCUCGGGCCCGUCUGGCCUCUUAGGAGCAGACCUGCCACCCCUCCCCUUCUCCCACUUUUGGGAUGCUUUGGGACCCCAUCCCCUCUAACACUUUCUACGCUCUCUGCAUUUUUUCAUGUCCUUCCUUCUCUGCGCUCCCCAUUUUCUCACGCUGUAGCACUGUACAGUCUUUUUGACUAACUACUGUGAUUUUACAACCACUCACCAAUCUGCAUGUCUAUUGACCAAUCUAUGGACUGUUGAGUGAUAUUCUGUGGAGAAAAAAAGGGCUGGAGGUGAAAGUGAUGAGUUGCUCUUUUUAAAUAAUGUUGUUUAAUACAAAUGUCAUAACUUUAAUAUAAUUCAUUUGGUUUCUUCAUGAAAAACCUGGGUUAUAUACCUGAGAUUUUGCAAAAAGCUGACCACACACACGGCUAUAAACUUUUGUUUUCAUUUGAUGUGUUUUAGUGCUUUCUAACCGCCUCACCCCAGCUGAGUUUGUUGAGUAUGGGUUUCAAAGUCUGACCUUCCUCUAGUCAUAGAAACAAAGCUUGAACUAUAAAUGACUCCACGUUCCAUGGAGC
rnacentral:lncRNA from 1 species